rnacentral:lncRNA from 1 species
UACUGGACGAUGAAGAUGCCCGAAACGGUGAGCACGCGCAUGACGCGGCGCAUGUCGCGGAGCCUGCACGGGCUGAUGCCGGCCUCGGCGAGUAUCUGGGGCAGGGUGGCGGAGCCGCCGAGGCGGUGGACGGCGUCGGCGAUGCCGAGGUCCAAGGCGAUGGCGAGCGCGGCGGACUUGAAGAAGCCGAGGGACUGAUGCCAGAGCUGGAGCUCGGCCUGGAGCAGCUCCUGGCUGCUGUACUCGGCGAGCAAUGCCAUUACUGCCCCGAUCGACCAAUCAGUCGAUCUUGAUGGCUGGUUCUUUCUUGUUCAGGGGUUGCUGAGCUUUGGGUGGAGCCAUACACGCAUCGGGUACUUAUAGUUGCAUGGCAGCUUGGUUAAGAGGGUGUUUGGGAGAAGGGGGUUAAACUUUAGCCUUGUCACAUCGGAUGUUCGGAUACUAAUUAGGAGGACUAAAUAUAAGCUAAUUACAAAACUAAUUGCAGAACCCCUAAGCUAAAUCGCAAGACGAAUCUAUUAACCCUAACUAAUUAGGCUUAAUAGAUUCGUCUCGCGAUUUAACCUAGGGGUUGUGUAAUUAGUUUUGUAAUUAGUCUAGGUUUAAUACUCCUAACUAGUGUCCAAACAUUCGAUGUGACGGGAGCUAAAAUUUAGCCCCCUCCUCCCAAACACCUACCCCCAACGAACAUGAGCAUUAUUCUACAAGCUCUCAUUGGCUGUAUAUGCAAGCAUGUGCAGCCUUGGAAAUCAAGACGAUAUCCCAGCCGGUGCCCAGUUGACUUUGAAAGGAGGAACGAGUCAUGAGAGAUUUUUUGAAAAUAGAAUGAUAGGCUGCUUCUGCAUAUGUACUUAUAUACCAAUGAAAACUAAUUGUAUAUAUAGGGAAUUUUGAAGCACUUAGUCAACUACUAGCUGCAGUAGCUUGAAUGGUCGCAUUACAUAUGCACACGGCAGCUACUUACCCCUUGUUUACUUUCCAAUUUGGGAUAGGCAAAAUUGACAUUUUGCCAUAAAUGCGUAACUGUAGCGUUUCGUUUGUAUUUGUGAAUUAUUGUCUAAAUAUUGACUAAUUAGGCUCAAAAGAUUCGUCUCGCAAAGUACAACGAAAUUGUGUAAUUAGUUUUUGAUUUCGUCUACAUUUAGUACUCCAUGCAUGUACCGCAAGUUUGAUGUGAUGGUGAAUCUUCUUUUUGCAUAGUGUCAAAGUUGGGUGUUUGGGAGAAGGGGGCUAAACUUUAGCCUUGUCACAUCGGAUGUUCGGAUACUAAUUAGGAGGACUAAACAUAAGCUAAUUACAAAACUAAUUGCAGAACCCCUAGGCUAAAUCGCGAGACGAAUCUAUUAAGCCUAAUUAAUCCAUCAUUAGUGAAUGGUUACUGUAGCACCGCAUUGUCAAAUCAUGGACUAAUUAGGCUUAAUAGAUUCGUCUCGCGAUUUAGCCUAGGGGUUGUGUAAUUAGUCUAGGUUUAAUACUCCUAACUAGUGUCCAAACAUUCGAUGUGACGGGGGUUAAAAUUUAGCCCCCUCCUCCCAAACACCUACCCCAACGAACAUGAGCAUUAUUCUACAAGCUCUCAUUGGCUGUAUAUGCAAGCAUGUGCAGCCCUGGAAAUCAAGACGAUAUCCCAGCCGGUGCCCAGUUGACUUUGAAAGGAGGAACGAGUCAUGAGAGAUUUUUUGAAAAUAGAAUGAUAGGCUGCUUCUGCAUAUGUACUUAUAUACCAAUGAAAACUAAUUGUAUAUAUAGGGAAUUUUGAAGCACUUAGUCAACUCCUAGCUGCAGUAGCUUGAAUGGUCGUAUUACAUACGCACACGGCAGCUACUUACCCCUCGUUUACUUCCCAAUUUGGGAUAGGCAAAAUUGACAUUUUGUCAUAAAUGCGCAACUGUAGCGUUUCGUUUGUAUUUGUGAAUUAUUGUCUAAAUAUUGACUAAUUAGGCUCAAAAGAUUCGUCUCGCAAAGUACAACGAAAUUGUGUAAUUAGUUUUUGAUUUCGUCUACAUUUAGUACUCCAUGCAUGUACCGCAAGUUUAAUGUGAUGAAGAAUCUUCUUUUUGCAUAGUGUCAAAGUUGGGAGUUUGGAGGGAAGUAAACAAGGGGUUAGUUUAGGCUGCUAGGUGACCGCGAGCGGAAGCUUACGUUGCCUUGGUCAGAAUUCGAGCUAUAUAGAGAGGAGAGGCUGCGCGCUGCGCCAAGGUAUCAAUCAAUCUUAUCCUUGACCGUGAUGGCUGAAGAAGUCUUCCAUGUCUGCGCCUGCAAACUACUAAACAAAUCUUUAUCCUUGGUCAGAAUUCGAGCUGUAUAGAGAGGAGAGGCUGCGCGUAGAUCUCUAUCAUGAAUGCACAUGUAUAUCAAGCAUAAGUACUUGCAAACCAAUCAUUGAGUCUUUCACCGUUGCACGGUUUUGUUUUUAAAAGUAUGUUUGCAACUAGUCACUUCUGAAGGUAUUUGCAAUUGCAAAAAUAGUUUCUAACGUCUAUUACCGAAAAAAUUGUCCUUUUGCAUCUUAGUUUUUAAUUAUGUUGAGUUUGACAAUGAAAUUUUAUGGAUGCAUAUAUCAUGCUCAUCCCCAUCUAUAGUAAAAUUUAUAAAAUAUUCUCAAACCUUUUAAGUAGAGUGAAAAUUAAAUCCACAUUCUUGUGUCGUUUACACCACCUAUAUACUUCACCCAAGAAUGCAAUCAAAUAUGCUCACCCACCUACUGCUAGAUGUGCCUCUUCAAUAUUCAACUUAUUUUUCAUGGCUGUCCUCUCCUUAUGUCGACUGCUUCCGACGCUGCAUUGUGCACCACCGUAGUCGCUGUGCUUCCUUCGUCUCCGGUGACGAUGACAAUGCCUGCUUUGCCGCCACCAUUUUUCAGCGUGGUGGUUGUCCGAUUUCGAGUGAGAAGCAGUGUACAUCUCUAAGGCAGAUUCAUUUUUCACCGAUCCUCCAUCUGAGAAGAAGAGGAAAAGGAAGAGGAGGAGGAAGAGGAAGGAGAAGCAAGAUGACGUUGCUGCCAGAAAGCCUGAUGACAUGGAUUUGAACAUAAAUGACGACGACAUGGUAGAUUAGCAAACACAGUGGAAUAAAAACUAGACUCAAGUAUGUGCCCUUCAUGUAUACUUUGAGCAAAGCACUAUACAUGUGCAAACUUUUUUCCAGGUCUAAGUAGGCAAGCACCAAAGUAAUAAAACAGGUUUUACUCCUUUUGUAGGGUCAGAUGCCCGAAUAUGAAUCCCCCACAUAUGUAUAGGGCCACUUAUUGGACACUAUGCAUCUUAACAAUAAUUCAGAACCAGUAUAUAUAUAAUUUUGUGAUGUCUUAUUCUUUGGAUGGUGUUCUGUUCACCAAGCUUUCAAGGAUAGAGCUCGAUAACAGAUCGAACACCGAGAACAGGUAUAAUUUUGUAGUCCUUGAAUCCAGCCUCGAAGAAAAUCUUCUUCCACUCUUGCUCAUCUCGUUCAACUCCAUUGAUGUUCAUGAUUAAGAGGUCAUACAAAACUUGUGUCUCUGCAUGCUUGAUAUCAUCUGACGGCCCAGAUCCGACCACCAUAUCUAUUAUUAUUAUCUUUCCUCCAGCAUCUCGUGGAGAUAUAGCUUGUUUGCAGUUCUUCAAUAUCUUGACACACUCGUCAUCGCGCCAAUCAUGCAAAAUCCACUGAAAAAAACAAGCAAUCAUGCAUCAAUUUUCAAUCCAUACAUAAAUUAAACAUACAAUAGCUUAGGGCAUUUGCUGGUUGCUGUCAGUAAUGUGCAUUCGAAACAUUUGGGUAUUGGGAUGUACCUUGAGGAACACAGCGUUCGCCGGUGGAAUACUCUCAAACACGUCACCAGCAACGUAGUGCACGUCAGUACCAGAGGGAGCUUUUGCGACGACCUGUGGGAGAUCCAGCACGGUGCACUUCAAAUCCGGGAACGCCGCUGCUAUGGUCGCAGCGGCCCCGCCAAGGCCGCCGGCGACAUCGACGAGGGAGGUUAGCCCACGGAAGACCUCGGCGCACUCCCUGAGGACGAUCGGCAUCAGGAAGGCGGUGUCCGCGGCCAUGGCGUCGUUGAACCGGAACGCGGCGGCGUCAUGUUCCGCUCUCUCCCAGACCGUCUGGCCGCCGUACGCCAUGGCGAACGGGGACAGACCCGGCUGCUGCUGGUCGCCCUGCUGCCGGAACCACUUGCGCAUGCCCAUGCUAACCGGAGAAUCUCGGACCGGCCCGAGCAAGAGCUGCACGGUCAGGAAAUGAGGCAGUUGGCCCGUCGCCGUCGAGCUCUUGUCCCUGACGAGGAGGCGGGAGGCCGCUGUCAGCUUGUAGACCGCGGCGUCGUGCCUGCUUUCUGCCGCCGCCGCCGCCGCCGCCUCGUCCGGGUGCUGGACGAUGAAGAUGCCCGAAACGGUGAGCACGCGCAUGACGCGGCGCAUGUCGCGGAGCCUGCACGGGCUGAUCCCGGCCUCGGCGAGUAUCUGGGGCAGGGUGGCGGCGCCGCCGAGGCGGUGGACGGCGUCGGCGAUGCGGAGGUCCAAGGCGAUGGCGAGCGCGGCGGACUUGAAGAAGCCGAGGGACUGGUGCCAGAGCUGGAGCUCGGCCUGGAGCAGCUCCUGGCUGCUGUACUCGGCGAGCAAUGCCAUUACUGCCCCGAUCGACCAAUCAGUCGAUCUUGAUGGCUA